GGAUUAGAUACCCUGGUAGUCCACGCCGUAAACGGUGUCAACUAGGUGUUGUGGGUAUUGACCCCCGCAGUGCCGCAGCUAACGCAUUAAGUUGACCGCCUGGGGAGUACGGGCGCAAGCUUAAAACUCAAAGGAAUUGACGGGGGCCCGCACAAGCGGUGGAGUAUGUGGUUUAAUUCGACGCAACGCGCAGAACCUUACCAGCCCUUGACAUGUUGGUUAAAGCCAGGCGAGAGCUUGGUGUUCCUUCGGGAGGCCAUCACAGGUGCUGCAUGGCUGUCGUCAGCUCGUGCCG
rnacentral:rRNA from 1 species